UCAGUAACACGUAGUCAACAUGCCCAGGGGACGUGGAUAACCUCGGGAAACUGAGAUUAAACCGCGAUAGGUCAAGAUUUCUGGAAUGGAUCCUGGCUUAAAUCUACAUGGCCCCUGGAUUGGACUGCGGCCGAUCAGGCUGUUGGUGAGGUAAUGGCCCACCAAACCUAUAACCGGUACGGGCUCUGAGAGGAGAAGCCCGGAGAUGGGCACUGAGACAAGGGCCCAGGCCCUAUGGGGCGCAGCAGGCGCGAAACCUCUGCAAUGGGCGAAAGCCUGACAGGGUUACUCUGAGUGAUUUCCGCUAAGGAGAUCUUUUGGCACCUCUAAAAAUGGUGCAGAAAAAGGGGUGGGCAGGUCUGGUGCCA
rnacentral:rRNA from 1 species